rnacentral:piRNA from 1 species
AAUCCCCGGCAUCUCCAAGCAGC